rnacentral:lncRNA from 1 species
CGGUCUGUCGGAGAGAAAGCCGCUCAGGCUGAAUUGGCUUCCUAUUUUGGGUGGAUAGCUUCCCUCGGCCCGAGGCAGAAAAAGAGCUGUGGUGAAGUAGGAAACACUGUUGGUUUGAAGCUUUUAUUCUAACCUGCGGAGCAGGGCCUCUCUCGGGCUUAACCCAUUCUCCGAAUGUUCUAGAUCUCAUCACCAGGAGAACCUCGGAUCUCCUCAAGGAAGAGGGGCAGCACGAUCUAGGGCGAGCCAUUUAGAAGAUGUACUGAGAACGGCUGAAGAACCAAAGGCUGUCCAAUUCCAAUUCUUUGUCGUUCGGUUCGUAUGUGUGUGUGUGCGGUUUUCUUUUUAGACAAGAUUUUUUCCUGGCUGUGCUGGCCAGAGAACUCCCAGUUUACACCAGGCUGGCUUGGAACUCAGAGAAAUCAUGCCUGCCUCUCUGCCUUCCGAGUGCUUGAGAUUAAAGAUGUGUUCCACCACAA